rnacentral:lncRNA from 1 species
GAAUGGUCCAUGGAGAUUAUCAGACUAAAGCCAUCAUUUGCCAGGAAGCUAAACCAAGAUGGCUUCUCUCCGGUGCAUUUAGCUUUGCAAAAUGAUCAAACUCAGUUAGUGCUUCAGCUGAUAGAUAUUGAUCCGGACCUUGUUCGUGUCCAAGGAAGAGAAGGCAUCACUCCUUUGCAUUUCGUGUCUGAAAAAGGAGACAUCCAUCUGUUGAGGGAAUUUUUGUCUGCUUGUCCGAAAUCUCUUGAAGAUGUGACCAAUAAAGGCGAGACUGCUCUUCAUAUUGCUUUGAAAAACAAUAACGUCGAAGCUUUUGAUCAAGCCUUAACAACAGUACAACCACCGUGGUUUGACCUUGAAGAAGCUCAACAAUACAAUCCAGGAAUCCUCAACUUGAAGGAUAGGGAUGGCAACACUUUGUUACACAUAGCAACAUCCAAAAGUCAAGUCCAGGCAAGCUCGAAUUCACACACACACAUAUAUAGAAAUUUUCCAAUGAGGUGCAGGCACCCUCAUUUUUUCCUUUUUAAUAUAGACAUGCUGUCUUUUCUUUUUUAAUAUAGACAUGCCGUUAAAUCACGUGCUUUAAUAUAGAUAAUUCUUAAUUCAUUAUAAAGCCAUAUAUUUUAAUAGCAUACCUGUAUAUAGUUUAAUAACGUAUCCGCAUGAGAAAAAAAUGAAAGUGUUUGCAUGAAAAAAAGGACUAUAUAAAUAUAUAUAUAUAUAUAUAUAUAGUAUCUAAUGAACUUAUCUUUAUUUCAACAAAGUAAGGAUGCCAUUAAUAAAUAUAAAAAGAAAAUCUUGAAUAAAUUAAAAUAUGUGUUCUUUUGUAUUUUAUUUACAUCUUUACUUCAUUAAAGUUUCUCUCAUAUACGGUCACAAAUAAAAUUCACAAAUAAAAUUCAGUUGAAUGAUGAUUAGACAGAUUAUUGCUAUUUCCACUUCCUGAUGAUGUCUAAAUUGAUGAAUUUGCUCAUCCAAAGCAGAUUGUAAGGCGUUUAUGGAAUUGCAAAGUUGAUACAAAUGCCCAGAAUUCGGAAGGUUUGACACCUUUAGAUAUUUCAUUACUUGAUCAAACUAAAUCAGAAAACCAAGAGAUUGCGGCAAAGCUGCGGGAAGCUGGAGCACUAGAGGCAACUUCACUUCCUACUACCGACAAGGAUAGACAUUUAUCGAGGUAACAGGAACACUGCUCUUUUACUAAAUUACAGUCCAUUUAUCGAUUAUCUUUUUAAAAACAAUAUGGCAUUUUCAUACUAUGUACAUCUCAAAAAUUGUUUAAUGUCCUUCAGAAGUAAGGAUCAGAGGCUGAACGAGGCUGCUAAAACAGGAAAUGUUGAUGCCUUGUAUGAAUUAAUAUGUGAGGACGCAUAUCUUUUAGAUCAGAUAGACGAAGUACCAUUCGUGGAUACUCCUUUACAUAUAGCAGCAUCAAUGGGGCAUGUCAACUUUGCCCUGGAGAUAAUGAGGUUAAAGCCAUCAUUUGCAAGAAAGCAAAACCAAUAUGGAUUUAGUCCCCUGCAUCUUGCUUUGCAGAAGAAAGAUACCCAAAUGGUGCGUCGGCUCAUAGAUGUGGACAGAAAUCUUGUUCGUGUCCAAGGAAGGGAGGGUGUAACGCCUCUACACUAUGUUGCUGAGAAAGGAAAUGUCGAUAUUCUAUGCCAACUUCUAGAGGCUUGCCCUGAGUCCAUCACAGAGGUGACAAUCCGUAAAGAGACUGCUUUGCAUGUUGCUGCAAAAAAUGACCAGUUGGAGGCCGUUGAGUGCAUGCUAGGAUGGCUUCGAUAUGUCGAUAUGGAGGAUAUCCUUAACUGGACGGACGAUGAAGGCAACACUUUAUUGCAUAUCACAAUCUCCAAAAGUCAAAUAAAGGCAUGAAAUUUUUUUAAAUUUUACUUCAGUUAGUCCCUAUAUUUUCAUGAUUAUUAAUUGCAUGCAUAUAUAAAUAUAUCCUUGCAGUUGGUGAGGCUACUAGUUAAAAGAGCACGUGAUCAAAUAAAUGCUCGGAACUUAGGCGAUAAGACACCCAUGGACAUGGUAGAAGAACAUUUGCGAGGGAAACCUGAAUUUAAAGAAGUAACACGCAUGGUGCGCAAAGCUGGCGGCCGACAAGAGUCCUCCCCUCCUCCUCGUAGGGACGUUGCAGGUUACUUAAAACAAGGUUUGACAUGUCGUCGAAAGGUGCUUUUGUUCUUUUACCGCUCAUCACAGCGCAUUACGGAUGAAAAUCGAAGCGCACUACUUGUGGUUGCUAUACUAAUCGCGACAGCCACAUUCCAAGCAGCGCUUACCCCGUCUGACGAUCUUGAGGGAAAUAAGUCAACUGGAACCCCCAACUCUAUUGCCACUAAUGGAUCACACUCAUCAUCGACAUCGGCAUCGACGUGGGCAUCAGUAUGGGCAUCAGUAAACCAAUCAGGAACAGCAAAUGCAACGGCCUUUGGUGUGAGCAAUGGAACCAGCAGCAGCAUCCCAACAAGUGACAAGAUUCUAUUCGCUCCGGGGCAAUUAUAUCCUGAAGCCAUUAGUGAUACGAUCUCCACACUUUUCGCAUUUUCAAAUAUUACAGCAUUUUUUAUAUCUAUGCUGGUGAUUAAUUAUCACCUCCCGUAUGGCUCCGCAGCUACUCUGGUAUAUCCUCUAGUUAUUUGCUUUUGCCUGUUAGUGGUUGGCAGAACCCCGGUGUCGCUACUUGCCUCACUUUCAAUGCUUAUCGUCUUUCGGAUUUGUUUAUUUGUACAACUGGACUUCUCCAAGAUUCGAUUUAGACGAAGCUUCUGGAUUACACAAGUUUUGGGCUCCGUUUUCAAACAUUAUAGAAGCUUCCUCAAUAAGAUAAUGAAAGAUGCUGAAAAAUAGCUAUAAUGCCAAUAUGCUGCCAUGGAUAAAACACAUGUCCGUUGGUCUGUUGAUGUUCUCUGCUGGCUUGGCUUUAUCUACUUAGUGUGACACUUCCUCUCAAGUAAUAUUGCUGGUUUUAUUUUGCGUAAGAAGGUGUGCUUUUGUGUACUGUAUUUUCUGAAUUAUGUUCGUUUGCUUUUGCUUCAUUUUGUAAGGUCUUCGCAUGUUUCAAUGUAAUAUUAAUUACUCUUGUUGUAUCUGAUAGUUGUACUGUUCACCUUCGUGACUGUGAAUAUAAUGAUGUUAAUUUAAUUAAAACUAUAUGCUUGUUUGUUUGAUAAGAAAAUGAAGGAAAAUUUAUUGACUUAGAGAGGAAAAACAGAGAUUGAAACUAUAUGCAUCUGGAACUUUCCAAGUGUAACAGAAUCAUAUACACACUCUCUGAUAUUCACCAUAACAAUUUGGUGGGAAAUAAAAAACUUUUAACAACUUGCAUUACAAUCUUCCAGUAGGUUCCAGCAGCUUGUCCAGCUUGGCAUCUGACAUCAAUUAGUUGACUCAACUUAUUCUUAACAAAUUUUUAUGAACAUAUGAAAUAUCAAUAUCAUUGGGCUUUUGAUGCUCCCACCCACAGGCUACUUAAAAUUGUACCUAUAAAAGUCUGUUAGAAGAAAAGCUGAUUCAAAAUACUUACGGCAAUAUAUGAAGAAAAACAAUCAACAAACAGCAAACACACAAACAUAGCAAUAAAAGAAGACAAGGCAAUGUUUGAUGAGAUUAAAAAGCUGACACAUGUAGCAUAUAUAUUUACGUUUUCUUGGAGAGAGGAAACCGCUGUUGGAUCUUCAUUGAUGAACCCUUCAACAGGCCUCCAAAAGGCUCUGCUGGGUCAUAAUAAAUCGCAACAUCCCCUGGCCUAAUUGAUUCAUCAACCUAUGUAUCAGGUUUUUCAUUCAUCAGCAAAGAGUUUCAGCAAUUGAUCUAAAAAAUAAAGACUGCUUUUGACACUCUAUAUAUAUGUGUGUGUGUGUGUGUGUCUUUUCCAGACAUUAGCAGAUCUAAAAUACUGUAGUAGAACAUACAUACAUAUGUAUAUGUAUAUAUAUCCAGCGGCUCAUGGAGCCCUUUUUCUUUUUUUCUUUUUAUUUUGCAGGCUGCACGUGGUGGGAGCGCCCUUUAUCCUCCUCUUUUUUUUUUUAAUUUUGCAGGCUGCGCGUGGUGGACCUUUGAUGUCCCGCAUCGGAUUACUAUCCUCUCUCUCUCUCUCUCUAUAUAAUUGUCCAGUUAUUUCUAAAUUUUAAGCAAUUUAGAUUUAGUGAUGAUUUAAAUGUCAAAAUUUAAAAUUUUUAUUUUUCUUUUUGAAAUUUCGAUAUCCAAGAGAUUGCAGUAAUAAUAACCCAAUUAAACUUCCACCAGUGAAACCACUUCUCCAUGAGAUCUUAUUGUAAAUGCACAAAAAGUUGAGGGUACCAUGCAUAUACAGGAGCGCCGUAGCUGAACCCUCAAAUUAUUUAAUUGAGGACAAAUUGUAAAAAGAUAACCUUAUUAUCGAAGUCAUGGAGUUCUAAUAUGAAAAUGGCUAUAGCUUUCUAUUGGAACAGAAGCCUGUUAAAAUAUAAUAUUUCUCUCUAAAAUCAUCUAACAAAUUAAUAAUGAAGAUUUCUUUAUAAUGUUGUAUGAGUUUUUAUAGUAUUAAUAGUCGAAUUGUUGUAGAUUCUUGAAUUUUAAUGUUUUAAUCUCUACCAUUCAUUUGAUAUAGUGGAUAAAAAAAAUUAAUUAUUUAAAUAAUAACAGGUAACCUUCAGGUUGCAAGUAAAUGUGGAUUUUUUUUUUUAAAGAAAAUUUAUAUUAUGUUGGAUAAAAACCCCACAUUCAAUGGUGGGAUCAUUUGAUUUAAUAUUAUAAUCUUUACCCUUAAUUUAAUUUUAAUAGUUAAGUAAUUAUGUAGCAAAUAAUUUGCAAGUUGUGAUAUUUCUUCAUACUUUAAAUUAUUUUUUAUCUAAUCAACUGAUAAAUACAAAUAAUUAAUUUUGGAAUUAAAAUUGUUAUGUACUGGUUCUAUCACUUUACAAUUUUACAUUUUUUUUUUUGCUUUUACAUUUAGCAUUAAAAAUAUAUGUAAUAACAUUAAAAUAAAUGUAAUUAACCAGUAAUAUUAUUUCAACAAUACUUUAUUUAAAGAUAUUUCAUAAAAUCUUAUAACAAUUUGUAUUGUAUGAAUUUAAUUACAAAGCCAUUAAUACUUAGACAAUAAUGAAUUGGCAAUGGAGAUUAUUAAGCUAAAGCCUUCAUUUGCCAAGAAGCCCAACCAAGAUGGCUUCUCUCCCAUGCACUUGGCUUUGCGAAAAUGGUCAAACUCAAACAGUGCUUCAGUUGAUAGAUACUGAUCCGGAACUCGUUCGUGUUAAAGGAAGGGAAGGCAUCACUCCUCUGCAUCAUGCGUCUGAAGAUGGAGACCUGUAUCUCUUGGAGAAAUUUUUGUCUGUUUGUCUGAAAUCUCUUGAAGAUGUGACAAAUAAAAGCGACACUGCUCUUCAUAUUGCUUUGAAAAACGAUAAGGUUGAAGCUUUUCAAGUCCUAACAAGAUGCCCUCCGUCGGUCAUUGGCCUUAAAGAAGCUGAUCAAUGCUACAACAAAAGAAUCCUCAACUCGAAAAAUAGGGAUGGCAGCACUCUGCUACACAUUGCAACAUCAAAAAAUCAAGUCCAGGCAAGCUUGAAUUAAUAUGCUAAAAAAAUCGGUUGAGUGAUUACAUUAUUGAUAUUGCCACCUGUUUUUUGUUUUAAAGUUUCAGAGUUUGUAUAUUACAUAGUGUCGCGCCUUCUAUUUUUGUGAGCUGUAGAGCUCUCACUCACACCUAACUUACUUAGGACCGUUUUCUAAGUAUUUAGGGAGUAGAUGAUUCCUAAUUAAUUAGAUUAGGAGUAAGUUUUUCUAAAGAUAAUCAUGCACAUAUUAUUAUGUUUUCCCUUUUAAGUAUGGUUUCUUCUCAUUCGAUUAGGAUACCUUAUAGUAGCAAUAUUACUUAAGACUUGUAUAUAAAGACCUCUUUGCAAGCAUAUAAUACAACAAGAUCUAAGCCAUAAUUAAUUUGCUCUCUAAGUUCCCACAUUCUCUCUUUCUUUGCCGUGAUGCUACAUUAAGAGUGUGAAAAUCAGAAAAAGGACAAAAGACCCCUGUGGUUUAGUGAAAUAGUUAUGAAACCUACUUAUUUUUAGAAAUAAUCAUAAAUACACCUUUUAGGAUACACAAACCCAAUUUAUUUGCCAAACUUUAGGGGUCUAUAUGACUUUUCUAAAUGUGAAAAUGAUUUACAUGUCCCCAAAAGGGGUAAUGUCGGACUAUUUCUGAAAACAAUCAGUCUCUAUAUGAUCAAUUUACUGAAUUUAUGAGUGUUGAUGUCUUUUUUCCUACUACAUCUUAUAGCUUAAACACAGACUCACAAGCAAAUAAAGAAUUGAUUUUUUCCAUAUUAAACAUGUCUCAUUACGUUAUUCUAGUUUUGUACCAUAUUGUUACAUUCCUUCAUCAUCUAGACCUAAUAUCAAUGGCUUUCAAUCAAUUACAUUACAUUACAAAAUGAUGUAGAAGAUAUCAUAUGAUAUUUGUCUUAUUACAGUAUUACACAUGACAUUGCAACCUUAAUUAAUAUAAUCAACCUAGAGUGUUCUUGCUCUACAAGUUAUACACUAGGUGAAAUCAUAGCCCUUGAUUUUGACACUUGAUGAAGAUUCAAUCAUUACUUGAUAACUUGUAGAAUUCAAAUCAAAUGCUUCUCUGAAGCAUUUCAUCAAACAACUUAUUCCAAAUAUCAAACACCCACUCUUUUAACUUCAAAACUACCUAACGACUUUGUAUUCACAUGUCCCAGCAGAUUGUAACGAGUUUAUUGAACUGCAAAGUUGAAAUAAAUUCUUUGAAUUCUGAUGGCUUGACACCUUUAGAUAUUACAUUACUUGAUCAAACUCAGUCAAGAAAUCAGGAGAUUGAGGAUAUGCUAUGCAGCGCUGGAGCAUUAGAAGCAACUCCACUUCCUAUUAUGGCCAACUGCACAAAUGUAUUGAGGUAAAACAACUCUUUUGCUAAACUAUGGUCCAUAUAUGGAUAAUAAUUUUAAAUAAUAUAUUUCAUUAAUUUGCAUUUUCCAUGUUAUGCACAUUGUAAUUACUUGCUAAGAAUAUUGCUUAAAUCAAUUAAUUAAUGUCCUUCAGAACGGAUCAGAGGUUGAACGAGGCUGCUCAAGUAGGAAAUGUUGAUGCCUUGUAUGAAUUAAUAUGGGAGGACGCAUAUCUUUUAGAUCAGAUAGACCGGGUACCAUUUGUGGAUACACCUUUACAUAUAGCAGCAUCGAUGGGGCAUGUCAACUUUGCCUUGGAGAUUAUGAGAUUGAAGCCAUCAUUUGCAAGAAAGCAAAACCAAUAUGGGUUUAGCCCUUUGCAUCUUGCUUUGCAGAAUUCACACACUCAAAUGGUGCUUCGGCUCAUAGAUGUCGAUAGAAAUCUUGUUCGUGUCCAAGGAAGGGAGGGUGUAACGCCUCUACACUAUGUGGCUGAGUGAAGAAAAUAUGAAACGAAGUGUUUGGCUUAAAAGAAAAUAACAGAGAAAAUAAUCUUCUGAUUUUCCAGAACUUUUAUUUUCAUAUAAAGAAUGAUUACAUCACUUCUAUUUAUACUAACUAAACAAUAACUAAUUAAGAAUCAACUCCAGCUAAUCAUUUUUUCAGUACACACUGUGAGUAAUAACAAACUUUAACUAAUUAUGCUAAGCUAGCAGUCUGGACUGUUGCGUUGCUUAACAGCUUCUGAUAGUUUGACUUGAGUUGACCCAAGCUUUGUUUUCUCAUGCUCUGCAUAAUGUGCUUCCUUAACACUGAGAAGGGAAAUGUCGAUCUUCUAUAUAAAUUUCUAGCAGCUUGCCCAGAGUCUAUCCUGCAGGUGACAAUUCGAAAAGAAACUGCUCUGCAUGUUUUUUUCGAAAUAUUAGAGGGACUUUUAUCCAUAUGUCUAAACGUUGUGAGUGUGUUAGUCUUUUUCCCUAUUUACAAGUACAAUUGUAAAUUUAUUUUCCCAUUCUUCUUCCCUUCUCUUCAAAAUUCAGCCCGAUUUUCUCCAUUUAAUCAUUCGCAUCUACAACAUUGCAAAUCUAGAAUUAGAAUUAAAAAUUCUUAUGAUUUUCCAAUACCAAUAAGUCAGUAAAUCAACUAUUAUAGUCAAAACCAAACCCUAAAAUAAAAUUAUCAUUUUUUUCCUUCAUCCUGUUCUCAAAAGGGGUUAUCUUUGUUGCUAGGCAUGUGGUGUUUAACGAAUCAGAAUUUCCUUUCUCUACGGAUCCUCAAUUCUCUAAGCAAUCUUCUACCUCUGUUUCCGAGUAUAGACAUCCUAUGUUUAAAACUUCUUCUGUGUUAGUUCUGCUACAUGAUCCUUCAGGCUCAAGUGACAACACUGUACAACAGCUUCAGCUCCAUGCAGUUCCAGCUUCCUCUUCUUCCUCUAGUUCUUCAUCAUCAUCACCUUUACCUCCAAAUCCAUAUUUCCCUGAUCCUUAUCACAAUAUGUCCCAUAAUUCCCAACACUCUUCUUCUUCUACAUCUAUUGUGCCUAUUCCACAGCCUUCUGUCCCUGCUCAUGUACCAUUGGCAACUCAUCCAAUGGUUACAAGAGCAAAAGCAGGAAUAUUUAAGCCAAAGUUUCUUGCAUAUUCUUUUGUUCUUGAAGAACAUGAACCUGCUACAAUUUCUCGAGCUCUCUCAAAUCCUAAACGGAAAGCAGCAAUGCAGGCUAAGUAUGAUGCACUCAUGAAAAAUGAAACUUGGGUUCUUGUUCCAACCUCUCAAGCUACUAAAGUUGUUGGUUGUAAAUGGGUGUUUCACAUUAAGUAUAAUGCAGAUGGCUCUAUAUCUGAGUACAAAGCUCGUUUGGUUGCAAAUGGGUUUCAUCAAACCCCUGGUAUUGAUUACUUUGAGACUUUUAGUCCAGUGGUUAAGCAAUCUACUAUGAGAAUUGUACUUAGUCUUGCUGUUAUGAAGAGCUGGAAAAUAAGGCAGAUAGACAUCAACAAUGUUUUCCUUAAUGGGCAGCUCAAUGAAGAUGUUUACAUGUUUCAACCUGAGGGAUUUGUCUAGCUUUCAUCUGGUCAUGUUUGUAAAUUGCUUAAGGCUCUUUAUGGUCUAAAACAGGCUCCUAGAGCCUGGUUUGAUUGGUUAAGGAAAGCAUUGUUGAAGUGGGGGUUUCAGAGCUCAAGAACAGAUUCAUCUUUAUUCUUUAAACAUGAACUUGGAGGUAUUGUUGUUGUGUUGAUAUAUGUUGAUGACAUUCUUAUUACUGUAGAUAAUAAUACAGUGAUUGAAAGGUUCAUCAAAUAUCUUGGAGAUACUUUUGCUUUAAAAGACCUUGGUGAAUUCAAUUACUUCCUUGGUAUUGAAGUUACUCAAGGUACAGAGGACAACUUACAUCUCUCACAAGCCAAAUAUGUAAGAGAUUUGCUCACAAAAACUGCAGAGAAAGUGAUACUCCAAUGAGUACAAGACAGAAACUAAGAAGAGCAAGAAAUGAAGAUAAUUUGAUUGUUAAUGUUACUGAAUAUAGAAGCAUAAUAGGUGCAUUGUAGUAUUUGGUACUCACAAGGCCAGAGCUUGCUUUCUCAGUAAACAAGUUGAGUCAAUUUCUUGCUGCAUCUACAGAGAAGCAUUGGACUGCUUGUAAGAGAAUUCUAAGAUACUUAAAGACAACUGAGGAUUAUGGCUUGCUAUUUAAACCAGGUGGUGGUGUUGUCUUAACUGCAUAUACUGAUGCAGAUUGGGCAUGUGAUGUUGAUGAUAGGAAAUCAGUUGGAGCAUAUUGUGUUUAUCUUGGGCAAAAUCUUAUUUCAUGGUCUUCUGAGAAGCAACAAACAAUAGCUAGAUCUAGCACAUAAUCAAAAUAUAGAGCAUUAUCAACAUCAUGUGCAGAAAUCGUUUAGGUUCAGGCUUUGCUUGGUGAACUUAAUAUUAAGUGCAAUCAAACACCAAUAAUCUGGUGUGACAACAAUGGUACUGCUGCAUUGACAACAAAUCCAGUAUAUCAUGCUAAAACCAAGCACAUAGAAUUAUAUGUACAUUUCAUAAGAGAGAAUGUGACAAAUAAACAAGUGGAAAUCAAGUAUGUGCCUAGUGAAUGGAAUAUUGCAGAUGUGCUUACAAAGCCUAUGGCUUACUGCUUUUUUAAUUACUGUAGGACAAGCUUAAUGUUGUUUCAUGACCGUUAAGCUUGAGGAGGAGUGUUAAGAUGCUUAAUCAACAGCAGUAGACCAGUGGCUGAGAUUUGUGCGACAAGGAUUGCUGAGCUGGACAAAUUAGUUAAGUUGUUGUAAUUAGUUUUAGUUUAGCCAAUAGAUGUAUUACAGUUGUACAAAAGGUUGUUAUUACUGUUGAUCAACAAUAUAAGUUUGCUACGAGCUAAAUGUAAUUCAUAUAAUUCAUAUCAAUAAAAUUUUCUCUGAUUUAGUUACUUUUCUUUCUUCUUUCCGUCACUUUCCUACUAACCAAACAAACUAUCAACCUAAGAUCCGUGAGUUCUAACUUUUACAAAUGUAAUAAUUACCAUGAAUUUACAAAAACUUGCAGCAAAUAUUUGUGUCCCAAUAGGUUGACAAUUGCAACACAUAUCGAAAAACUGUAAUAGUACCCUUCAUUAUAAUUACUUGACCAUAGUCAGUGGCGAACUAUGUAUACGCCUGGCAGCCGAGGUGUCGAGAAUUUAAUUUAACAGGGGUGCCUAAGUUCAAACACUAACAUAAUUUAAAAAAUGGUCAAUAAAUAACAAAUAUUAAAAUAUUUAGGGCUAGUUUGGUAAUCUUAUAACUUUUAAAAUAAUUGUUGUUACUUUCGCUGUAAAAAUAAUAAGUUGUGAAUAGAAUUAGUUAAACGUUUGACAAAAUUUCUUCUUAAAAGUGCUUUUGUAAAUCUCAUUGUUGAACUAUUAUAAGAGUUUAAAUGAUUAAAAUGGACAUAAUAUUAAAUAAAAUAUAUUAUAUAGAUAUAAAUACAUACAUAUAAUAUUUUUUAUUAUGUAUAUUAGUAAUUGAUAACUAAAUAAUUAUCUUUAUUUUAUUAAUUAUUUUUUAUCUCAAUAUAAUUAAUAAUAAUAAUAAUAAUCUCUAGAUUUAAUAAUUUUAUUUCCUAAUUGAAUAAGAAUAAUUUUAGAUUUUUAUAAUAUAUGUAAGGAUAUAUAUGGAAUUUUAUUAAUUAGAAAACUUAUCCUAAAAAUUAGAUUUUGAAAGCCUACUUCUUUUUUGCUUUCCAAAAUAUACUGUAUAUAAGAUACAGUGAUUUUACCGAAAGUGAUUUAAAAAAAAAAAAUCUACCAAACAGUAAAAUUAAAGUUUAACUUUUAAAAUCACUUUUAAGUCUCUCAAAACUAAUCCCAAAUAGGCCCUUAUUUCAAUACAAUUAUAAUUGUUCUCAUGUAUUUUCAUAUGUUAAAAAUAUUGAAGAAUAACCUCAUUAUCAUUACUACAAACAUAUUUUCUUCUACGUAUACAAUAAAACUAUCAUUCAACAAUUGGUUUCCCAUAUGAUUUUGUGGAAGCUUUUUCAGAAAAUUCAUAGCUGAAAAUACCCUUUCUAAUUUAGUUGUGUUACUUGAUAAAAUCAUUGCUAAUGUUACCAACAUAUAAAUUAAUGAAUACAACUAUCCAUUAUCUCAACCAUUUUUCUUGCUAACUCACCAGUCUCUUUUAAUCUUAAAAAUGUUGUCAAAACCCACAUUCAUAAUAUAAUCAUCAAGUUGAAUUUCAAGUGCCAUAAUGCAACAAUCUUUCUUUAUGGGUUCAAAGUGUUAAAAAGAAUAUUUAAUAUUUUACUUGUUUUUAAAUUUUAACAAGGGCGUUAUGGUAAAUCAAAUAAAAAUAGGACAAAUAUUAAAAUAAAUUUUAAAAAAUUAAAAAAUUGAAAAAGGGUUUCAGCCCCUGUUAAAAUGGCACCACAUCUAAAGCCUAGGGUGCCUUGAGGCAACAUACCAAUAAUAAUAAUAAAGAAAGAAAUCAAGAAAAAAGAGACAUAAUAAUAAGUAGUAACAUUAGCAAUGUUAAUUAUAUUUUAUGUUUUGACCCCUAUAAUUUUACAAGUUGAUUUUAUGUUACCGCCUACUCAAAUUUAUGGUUUUGGUCAUUGUGUUUGGCCCUCUCAAUUUUAGUGAUUCUAUACUGUAUGAAAUGUAAGUUAUGCAACCCAAGAGGGGGGUGAAUUGAGAUUUUAAAACUUACGCUAAACAAUUCGCACAACAAUUUAAUGUAUUGCCUUAAUCAAAUGUAAAAACAAUAAAUUCAGUAAAGCACAAUACUAAAAGAGUAAGUACAAUAAUAAAAGAGUAAGGGAAAAGAAAGCAAACACAACAAUUUUUACGUGGUUCGGCAAUCCCCGCUUACGUCCACGCCUCCAAGCCAACCAAACUCGAGGAUUUCACUAUCAAAGCCUCCCCAAAGCUUUAAGUUCUUACAAUUAACUUCCAAGGUGUCAAUGAACCUUUACAAUGAAGAGAUUAUCUCCCCAAUCUAUUCACCUGAAGUGUUUCUCACACUUGUACACUUACAAUUUGAUGAGAAAUGAACAAUUACAACAAAAACUCUCUUUAAGAGUGGAUUUACAAAUAAUAGCAUAAUAAUAAUUCAAUAAAUGAUGAUUUACGAAAUGGAACCUCAAUAUGUGUUAUAUGAUCUUAUUUAUGCUUGCAUUAGUCUUGAAAAUGAAAAUGGAGUUAAGGUUUUAUAGCUAAAGCCCGAAAACUAACCGUUAUAGGCAAAUUCCAGCGCUCAAGCGGUUAGCCGCUUGAUUUAUCCAGCUAGCCGCUCCAGAACAAUGAUGUUACCAUUAAAUUUGAAUUUUGCUACAAUAUCAUUGUUCAUUAAAUUACAUUUGUGACCAAAACUUUGUAUAAUUAUAUUAUAGCCCAACAUGUCAUAAAACUUUGCAAAUAAGUCUAAUUUCAGAAUUUCUAAAUAAUACCUGUCAUUCCUAAAUCUUAUUGUAAUUAUGAUAUGACCUAGUAUAUAAUAACAUUUUUCAAAAAGGUCCUUUUCAAAAUUUAAAAUAAUACCCAUAAAUUUUAAAGUUCUCAAAUCUUUUCAAUUUAGUCCAAAAUUUGAAAAUAUGAGACUUUCCUCAGGUGGUUAGCUGCUCACUCUCUGUCCAAUUUUUUAUUUCAAUUGUUUGUAUUAUGUUUGGGUCCUCAAACUUUCUUAAAUUGUAAUAUGACCCAAAAUAUUUCAAAUAUUUGCAAAUAAAUCUAAAUUCAAAAUUCAAAAUUCAAAGCAAUAUUUAAUAAAAUAAAAGAUUGCAAAACUUUUUCAUUUUAGUCCAAAUUACUCAAAUCCACAAAAUACUUUAUGUUAUAAAUAUAAAACCUUUUAGUUUAUGAAAGGUAAUUAUUUAAAUAAACUCUUGAGUUUCUCAAAUGCUAAAUCAUGCAUCAAUUAAAUCAUACCGACUUUACAAGAAUUUGUCACAAUAAUUUGUCUGUUGAGCUCUAAACUUAUUCUUGAUUUUGCCGUUGUCCGUUGAGUGUCUUGAACUUGAUUCACUUGCAUAAAUAUUAUCCUUAAAAAACUAGUAAAAAUGUGAAAUACAAUAUUUAUUAAAUCACUUAAGACACAUAUUUGUUAUCAUCAAAAUUAUAUUAUGGAUAGCCCUUUAGGGUAACAUUGUGGCUUACUCAAGUAUAUAGUUUCUUCAUUCGGCCCCAAAACCAAAAUCCUAAGAGUAUCUCCAAAAAGUUCUAUUAAUUUUACUCUUCAAAUAUUUAUUUGCUUAUCUAUGUGGUAAAAAGGAGAGUGAAAAAAUAUGUUAUUCUCCAAAAGACUCUUUAAAUAGAAAUAAGUUAAUAUUAUUUUAAUCAAAUAAAUAUUUUUUCAAAGGAAAAAUAAAUGGUAAUUAAAGCAUUUCUCUCUCUCUUUCUCCCCAAUAAAAAAUAAUAAAAUAUAAAUUGAAGAGAGAGAAAGUAACUCUACAAAUUGAAGAGAGAGAAUUAUUUCUUAUUUGAAAAAUCUUAAUUAGAGUAUAUUUUGAAGUCUUAAAUACUGAUGUAACUCUUCAAAUAAGUAAUAAAAUCUUAUUUGAAGAUUUUUUUGGAUAUGCUCUAACUUCACCACUAGAUUUACUUGAGUAUUCAACAAUACCCGACUUACUUGAGCGUAGAUGAUUUAGUUAUACUUAAUUGACUACUAAAACAAUUUAUUCAACUUACUCGACGAUACUUUACUUAGCUCACUCCAUGUACUAAUAUUUUACUAUUUUUCUAAGUGGUACAUUUAAUUACAAAAAUCCAUGAAAAUUUGAUAAUGAUGAAAUGCUUAAUAAAUAAGGGUAUUUGGUCAAAUCAUAACAAUGUUUGUUAAACACUGGUCUAAUAAUAAGUAGUCAUUUUCUGAUGAAAUAAAAUUAAAGCUGAAAAAAUUUAACAUGACUGGUUUACUCUAUACAAAUACAAUAUGAAUAAAUAUGUAUCUAUCAUGAAAAUUGACAUGAUUAUUAAAUGAAUUUGGUCUAAGUCAACCCAAUUGUUUCCCGUGUCAGGCUAGAAUUCAAUUUUUCAAUGCAUUUACUUGGUCAAUGACGUGAUUAUUAAUUAGUUAACCAAAACUAAUUCAUAUUUGCAUUAAAAUAUACUUAUAUUUUCAAUUCUAAAUUAAUUUAUAGAAUCUUAUCAUUAAAACUCAAAAUUUGGUCAUGAUUCUAGUGAACAUAUAUUUGAUGUUCUAUUUUGUAAAAUUCUUGAUAGAUUUAAAACUUCAAUGGUUCAUACAUGUUGUAUUUGCAUCAAAUGAGUGUGUAGUAUUUGAUGUAAAUCGUGUUAGAAUUUAAAUAGGUAUUCAGUGAAUUUUUAGGUUAAAUCAUGUUAGAUGACACAACUACCUAGUCAUUAAAAGAGCGUAUCAAGUCACUAUUUUAUUUUUCGUAUCGAGUUCAAGUUUUAAUAUUUUAACAUUUUAUUUUUCGUAUCAAGUUUAAGUUUUAAUAUUUUAACACAAUUAUUAAAUAAGUCGUGUUUUAACCAACAUAAAUUUAAAACAACACAAAAUUGACACAAUAUGAGUGGCUUAAUGACCUAUUUUGUUAGUUUUAUUUAAAACCCUCUAAUCUAUAAAAAAAAAUAAAAAACGGUCCAUGGGCCUAGCCCAAAUAUAUAUCCAACAAAACCAGCUCCCGCUCAAAUCACACUCUCUCGGUCGUUCCCUUCACUCUCCAAAACCCCCCAUUCCAAACAAAACCCUCAUUUUUCCCUCUUAACGAAGUCACUUUCUCGAGAACCAAACAUUCCCUUAGAUCUCCAAUUUCAUAAUGAGAGAAGAUGAAAUAGAGAAACUUCGAGGAUUGGUUCGCGACUGUGUGAGUAAGCAUUUGUACUCGUCGGCCAUUUUCUUCGCCGAUAAAAUCGCCGCUUUGAUCAAUGACCCUACUGGCGUUUACAUGCAGGCUCAGGCUCUGUUCCUUGGCCGCCACUACCGCCGUCCAUUUCACCUCCCUAACGCCUCAAAAAUUGUGCUCCGUGACCUCCGAUUUCGUUACUUGGCUGGUAAGUGUCUGGUAAAGUUCUGUUUUUUGAUUGCAUUAGAAAAUUUGAAUUUCAGAUUUUGGGAUUUGUGCUUUUUGCGUUUUUAGUUUUUUUUUUAAUGUUAUGAAAAAGGGAAAUUUUGAAAAUUUUAACUUGAAAUUGGUGUUCUUUUUAUUUUAGAACAAAAGAAUUUCAAUGAAAAAUAUGUGGAAAUUGAAUUGCUCUAGCAAAUUUGCAUGUGUUGUGUGUUUUAAGAAAAUGAAAACUAGAUUUUAAGCAAUUAAGGAGAAAUUAUCGACUUUGAGCUGAAUGGUUUUGAUCAAUUUUUUCUUGAAUGUUUAUUUGUUUAUACAACUGGGUAGUUUUUCUUUUACUUAUUUAUUUCUGGUCUGUCCUUUGUAUAAUUAGGAGGAACUGAAGGAGUGGGACUAGUGUUUGUCGAUGCUCGGUGAUGCUAAGGUCGAUGAAGAUGGUAAUGUUUUUGACACAAAGGAUAGCAAUGUCAUGUACUUAGAUAAAGAUGGGGAAGACAGAGAAAUCAAUGUAAGUUUUUGUUUGUAAUCUCAUUUUAUCUGGCCUUUUAUUUUUUAAUUUGUUGCAUAUUUGUUGUAUACUUGACCCAAUAUUUCUUUUUUCUAUUACAGAUCUCUUCAGCUAUAUGCUUUUUGAGAGGCAAAGCAUAUGAAGCCUCAGGAAAUUGUGCCCAAGCUCGGCUGUGGUUAGUUUCUUGCGAUGAAUUUACAUGAAAAUCACUCUGCUUAAUUGUAAAAUGCUUUAUGGUUAUUUUCCCUUAGUUUUUCAGUCAAAAUGAUACCAACUUAUACUGUCUAACAGUCUUCUGUUAUAGUAACUUAGGUGUAGUAAUUUAACGUACUGUUAAAGAAAGGAAAUGACUUUAUUGUUUUAAUGGGAGAAUUUUGAACAUUGUUAUAAACUUGUUUAAGUUGGGCAUAAGUAAAUUUAUCUUCAAUUUCAUUACUGAGCAGAUUUUGUUUGAAUGCAUGAAUGUUUGAUAUAUGUGUUUAAUAGCCAAGGAGUUUGUUUAGAUACUACUUUAAGAAUUAUCUAUAUAUAGAUUGGGUAGUCUAGAAAACUCUCCUUGAUUAAAUCAAUGUAUAAUUUUGAUAAGACAGUUUAAAAUGUUAACAUCCCAUGUCUUCUGGAGUCCAUUUGGUGACACAGGAAUGGUAGUAUAUGCUGGGAUGGUUUAGUUCAAUAAGGCUAUUAGUUCUGAUCUGCUUUUUCAAAGAGGUUGAUUGCCAAAUUAACAGCCACAUGAAGGAGAUUGUCUUUUUUUUUUUUUUUUUUUGUGUAUCCUGAAUUGUUUUUGCUUCCAACCACAAUUCUGGUCUUCUAUUGGUUCACACUUCCUACUUCUAUCUCGAUGAUUUUAGCUGCAAUACCUCAUUACUAAAUUCAGCUCUAACAACAGAGGAACUUAUUUGCUUCCUCUUUAUCUUGUUCCAUUACUAGCUUUCAUGUGCAGCAUUUUUAGAAUGUUAAAGACUAAUAGUACAGAAAGGUGGUUUUAAAUCAAAUGUAACAAGAUUCAAUUGACAGAUCAGCUAUGCUUCACUCCAUGUGGUUACCUACACACCUGGAUAUUUGUUUUAGAGUUUUAUGCUGUCUGAAUUAGUGGCCUCAUUUUGUUAUCUGAUUGAAAGCUUGCAUGUAUUUCGGUAAGUUAGGUUCUUCCCUCAACUCUUUUUCUUUAGUAACUAUCAUGGUAUUGUUUUAUAACCUUAAUUAGCUUCUCUUUGGUUUUUCAUUUGUCAGUAUAUCUGCUCUAUUCUGUUCAAUUCCUUUUUCUCUAUUCUCUCAGUUAUGUUGAACUAAAACGCUAUAGUUCAUACAAAGGCUUGCUAUAUUUUUUCAUAAUGAUUUAAGGUACAAAGCAGCAAUCAUAGCUGAUCCUUUGUGCUAUGAGGUAUGCAUGACACGCUAUCAAUGUUUUUUUUUUUCCUUUCCCCCUAGGGAUAAGCUGGUGGGGGGAGCGUCCCGUUCUCAAAAACUCCUUACCUUGAAUUUUGUGGCUGCAUAAAUUUCAGACAUGACUUUCUAUGCAAAAUAUUACAACCUGUGGAAACUGUUGCCUUCUCAAGGAUUAGAAAAUUACUCAAAAGAGGGCUAGAUUUUUUGAGCUAGGCUUGUCCCUUUUUUUUUUUUUGUAAAUAGAAUUUUAAUCCUUUUCUUUAAUUUGACCUCUGCUGAUCACAUAGAUGUCUCAUUUGGAUGUUCCUUAUAAGAUAUAUCGAUUCUCAUUCUUUAUGAUUUUUUUUAUGGCUGUACCUUGAUUUCUUUUUCAGGCUUUGGAAUGCCUUAUAGAAAAUCACAUGCUAACAUGCGAGCAAGGUAAUGAUGUAGUUUUUUCCUAGUCAUCUGUUUCUUUCAUCUGAGAGAAGUGGAUUAUGAAAAUGUUUACAUUUUGAAUUAUAGUUCUUACAUAAGUGUGCACGCGCACACACACACACACACAUAAAUGAAAUUAUAGUCACACACAAACAUGUUGAUAUAAAUUUAAUUUGGCAAAAAUUUCUUUGGCUGUGUUCAACUAGCAUUGGAUCUUUCAUGGAACAUGUUAUAAUAGGCUAAUACUUUAAAUUUUUGGAUUUGCUGUUGAAUUUCAGAAACAAGUUUACUUUCAUCAUUGGAAUUUGGUUUUGAAGAUGGAUGGCUUUCUUCAUUCUACUCAUGUUUGAUAAAAAAGGUGAACUGUGUGCAAAUUCAUUAUAUGCUCUUCCAAAUGUAAACAUUUCAAUAAUAAGUUUCCCAUAUGUUUUCGUGAUGUUGAUUCUUUUUGCUGUGUUUGAGUGCAGUGAACAAUUUCUUUCCUUCUUUCCUGUCUCCCUUUGUUUUAUGCAGUAUGACAAGGAGAAUGUUGUAGAAGCCAAAUUUGGAGAAAUUGAAAAAGAAAGAUGUGAUAGUGUCCAUUCGAGCCCAUCCUUCUCACACAGUCUGAAAAACAAUACUGAUCUUUUAGAGGGCUUAUUAUUCUGUCGACCUGCGAUACUAGAUUUCAGAAAUCUUCUCUUCACACAGUGUUCUUGGCUCUCUAAUUGUCAAAAAGUUGAACAGCCUUUUUCUGUCUGAUGCAUCAUAUAUAUGCAGUUUAAUAUUUGUGGACUUCAAUAAUAUUGAUUACCUUGAUUAUAAUAUUUUCAAUUGUAUGGUUUUUGGGUUUCUUCUUGGUAGGGAAGAUUUUUGUCUUUUUCUUUUUUUGACUUGAUUCUUCUUCUUUCUUAUUAUUAUUGUUACUGUUUCCCAUUCACAAGGAAAAAAUUGGAACUUGCUCCACCUCGCAAAAGUUUUAGAGCGCAUUUAAUUCUCGAAUUGGGGAAUUGGAAUGGAGAAUGGGAAUGAUUGAUUGUGUUUACUUGCUAAAAACAUGAAAUAAUGACGAUCGAUUUUGGGUGGAGCUCACAAGUUUGGGAAUGAGGUAUUGGAAUCCCAUUGCAAUAAGAGAGGUGGGAAUGAAAAUGGGAAAAUUAACACUUUUAUCCUUAAAGAAAAUUAAAUAUUUAUUUUUUACCUUAUAUAAAUAAAUAACUAAUAAUAAUAGUCGUAGUAGUAAUAAUAGUUAUAAUAAUAAUAAUAAUAAUAAUAAUAAUAAUAAUAAUAAUAAUGAAAAUUAUAGUAUUAUCCUCAAUAUUAUAAUAAACAUGUAUAUAUUUAUUUAUUUAUUUAUUUUGUUAGUGAAAAAUGUACAAUUUUAACUAAGGGCAUCAUGAUAAUUUUCAAUAAUCCAUUUUGAUUACGAAAUAAAAUAAAUGGAUAAAUGAAAUUCAGCUCAUUCGAUUCUUAUAUUUCAAGUAAAUAAUUUAUUAUGGUUCUCAUUUCUUAUUCCGAUUCCAGAUUCCAUCCCAUUUCAAUUCCUAAUCAUUUUGAUUCAUGGGAAGUAAACGCACCGUUAAUUUGUCGCUCUUGUUAAAUAUAUCCUUUGUGGAUUUCAUAUGAGGUUUGAAAUGUUAUUUAGUGAAAUUUAAUUUCUUGUUGGCUCUAUUCACCACAGCAAGGCUACAAAUCUUGAUGGGACAUUCGCCCCCGCUUGGAUAGGUUAUGGAAAUGCUUUUGCUGCUCAAGAAGAGGGUGACCAAGCAAUGUUGGGUUAUCGCACUGCUGCUUGUUUGUUUCCAGGGUAAUUUUUAGCAUUAUUUAUUCAUUUCUGUACCUUCCUGAUUUUCUUUUCCUUGGAUCAGCAUAUUCAUGCAAUGAGGACAAGGACAAAGCCACUAACUUGCUUUUGAGCAAGUUUCAGGACACUUUUAGAAUUUCAUUUUUGGCUUUUUUAAAAAAAAAUUUUGGUCUCUGAAAGAUAUCUUAAGGGUAGGGUUUGGUUGUUUUUGCUCAUCUUGAUAUUAUUCAAUUCUUGUUCAAUUUGAAGAACAGUGUGCUUUGGCUGUAUAAUCAUGUGGGUAAAAAAAUUUUUUGGUCCCUCAAGUUUCUAUUAGGUUUCAUGUAAUCCAUGAAAUUUCAGUUGCUUCAGCUUAAUCUGUUUCAAGUGCGCUACACUAAAAAACUUGGGUGUCAUGGGUUAUCAACCAAGAUUUUUUUUUUCUCCUUUGAUUUAAUAUUAAUAAACUGUUUUACCAAUAUAGACUUUUGAUGAAUGCUUCGCAUUUGAUUUCCAUAUUUCUUCCUGAGAAAUGUUGUAAGUUGAUUAAACAUAGUCUUAAAUCGACCCAAGGCAUUGUUGUAAUGUCUUUCUAUUUUGAUAAUAAACCACACUGUCAUAGUAGUUUUAUGGUCGUAAAGAUCAAUGAAUUUCAUUGUUUAUUGUUUAGUGAUGGUAUGCAUUGUGUUGUGGGAGUACUCUUAUCACUAUGAAUUGUCUUUUUACAGGUUGAAUCUUGAUGUUCUCUUAUUCCAGGUGCCAUUUACCAACUUUGUAUAUUGGAAUGGAGUACAUGCGAACUCACAGCUUUAAGCUUGCCGAACAGGUGUAUUACCUUCUUCUAAAUAUAGGCUGCCUUUCAUUUCUCUUUAGAUUUCAGUGAGAACUCUUAAGAGGUUGUUUGUUUGCAAUAUGAAGUCUGAUUGUUGGAUAUUCAGAUGUUGGUCUAUACGAUUUGCUAGUUGAUGUUGUCUUGGGGGUUUCAUUUUCCUCUUUGGAUUUAAUGUGAAUACGACUUCUUUCCUCUUUGUUUAAUUGAUGUCCAAUCCAUAUCCAAUCUACGAUUUUACGGAUUAUAAAUUUUCAAUCCAAUUCAAUUCACGGAUUGAUGAAAUUCAAUUCAAAUCCAAAUUCAAUUCAUACAUCUGCAGAUCGGAUGCGGAUUUGAUCAAAUCCAUAUCCAAUCCAUCAUUUUGCGGAUUGGUUUGCGGGCUGAAAAUUUUUAAUUCUGUCAAAUCCACGAACUAACUAAAUAUAAAAAUAAUUUUACUACCGAUCAAAUUUAAAAUUAAAUAAGAUUUAAAUAAUUAAUUGUUUAAAUAAAGCUAGAAAAUACAUUUACAGUUUUAAAAUAUAACACACCAAAAUGAAAAAAAUCUUAUUCGUUUAGAUCAGUACAUUUUUUUUAUGCGAAUACCACUCUAUUGGUGGGGGGCUUAGGCGGGACCCCUACUUUUCAUUUAGAACAGAUAAUGAAGAUUACAUGUGGAGGGGGACAUAAACCAAACCUCCAAUCUAGAGAAAUAAAUAUAACAGUAAAAGAAAUGAUUUAGGCAUAGCCUAACAUAAGAAGAAAAAGAGUAAUGCAGACGGUGACAAUAUCUCUUACGAUACUUGCGGCCGGCAAGUAAUUUAAUGCCCUUUUUCGAGUGACUGACAACACUAAAAUCAAGGCUAGAGUCAAUUCUCUCAGAAUUCUCAGGAGCAGACAGAAAAUAGUCAUUAUUCGCCAAAUGUUUGUUAGAACUAUCAUCAUUAUCAGUAUAAGAACUGUAAUGCCUAAAAUAUGUGCUGGAUGCUCGAUGAAGCUAUGUAUUAUAUUCACCUAGUUCUCGGAUCCUAGAAUCAGGAGUCGUGACAUCCUGGCCAAUCGGCUCCUGAAUGGAAGUAGAGUUUGUAGCGUUAACUCGGUUCUCUUAGGUACAAUCGGAGACCCCACAUCUGCAAUUUGCUUAAUGAUGGAAGGCUAAAGUCGUGGAGUAUCCAAGGGUUGUGGAGUAUCUGACGGCAAAACUUCUAACUUCUUAUUAUCUACUCUAGUUUGCCAAUUCCCACUGGGCCGCUGGGGAAGGACCCCUGGAUUGGCCACGGAACACGUCUCAAUGGUAUGGCCAAGGCACUUGUAGGAAGCACAGUAGAGUGGGAUUUUCUAAAAAAUUAUACUCUGCCAAAAUCCAGAAUCUCUCACACCGAUUUAGAUUCGUGACAACAGAGUUGAGUGACAUUAUUCUUCACUAACACCCUACUUACAGAAGGGCGAGCUAAAAAGGCAGUAGCUUGGUCAAUUCGUAAUGGCUUACCAAUAGAUGAUGUAAUAGAAAAUAAUGCUUCCUUACAGUGCAUAAAAUGGACAAGCAAGUAAGGAAUUGAAAUCCAUACUGGGACUAUAGAGGACUCCUUGGAAAAUCAAAAAUCGGUGGUUUAUUUAAAAAUUCUCAUUGCACUCUCAUUGAUGUACCAUGUCUGUCUAACCCGUAGGCGGGAGUAGUCCUCCUCAACAUCCAAUUGAAUUAACACAUGUCGAUUAUCUAAAAAGGACAUCUUGGAAAUUCCCUUCAAUCUCAUAGUAUUAAAAAAUUUACAAAUUAAUUCCAUACUAGGUCUAUUGUAGGAAAAUUUACCUACCAAUGUCCGCAGUGGAAAAUUGUACUUUAGGCUCUCCCUCGAAUAAAGUGACGAUCUUGAUUGGAAUAGACAAGCUAGUUGGGUCGUUCAUAAUAUCCACCAAAGAUUUUUUAGUGGGUUUAUUUUGAUUCAGAUUGGGGAUGGAUUUCAAAACCGAGGUAUAAGAAGGUACGUAUGUGGGCUGAGUGGUAUUUUGGAUUAACGGAUCAUUUUGGGGGUUAUUUAAUAAGAUUGGAGAGGGCAUUCGGGAGGGCUGGGUGUUGGGGUUUAUUUCGAAAAUGGAUUGGGCUUGGGUUUGACUAGUGGGAAAGGUUAAUGGGGCAUGGGAAGAGCUAGUGGUAGACACACAUGAGGAACACAAUUCAUGUGCUACCGAAAGUGUCUUAUGAGCAUGGGAAUUACACGCGUGCAGACUUUUGAGCUGAUGUUGGGUGGAUGUUUGCUGACCUUGGCUGGGUUCUGUGGUGGUUGCUUGCAGCUGACUUUCGGUUGACAGCUGCAGCUGGACGUGAGCUUGUGAUUUGCAUGGGGUUUUUUUUGUUGUGUGGGAGUUAUUUGUGUAGGUAGUGAUUGUGGCUGGCUGGUGGUUGUAUCUUGGACCGAAUCUUGAGACAAAUGGCCAUGGAGUACGGGCUGGUUUUGAUGGUGUAUAGGGGCUGUGACAGCAGGAUGAACUCUCGAAUAGUGUGUGGUUUGUGUUGGCUACGGGCUAGAGGCUGGUGGCUGGUUGGUUUGAGAUGAAAACCCAUUCACCAAGUUUGGUGGUGAAAGCUUGGAGUUGGCUGUUGAAGGGGUGACGAUGGCAGUUGGAGAUGGUUGUUGAAGGGACGACGAUGGCGGUGUGUUUGCGGAAGUUGAGGGUUGUUGGGGUUGGGCUGGCGUUUGACUCCUGUAUUUUGAGCGAGUUUGCCUUUGGGAUCUCCUAAGAAAAGAAUGUUCAUUUAUGGAAGUAAGGGGAGGAGCAGAUGGUGGCUGGCUGCCAUUAUCGUCAGCCGGCGAGAUAAGAAUCGACUUGUCUCGAGCAUUGGUUUCUUCCCCUUCUUCUAGUGAAUGGAGGGGUGAUUUUGCUACCUCACGGCAGCAUUCAUAGUCAUUGAUGCCACCAUUGAUUACCAUUUCUUUUUGCUCACUUGCGGCAUUAGGUGUGAUUGAAGGUUGUUGAAGUUUCGAGAGGAUAGCGGCAAUGGACAAUGGUGGUUGGUUUGCAUGGGGUUGGAUUUGAGAUGGAGGGUCUGCAUGAGAGUGGUUUGGUUGGAUUCGCGGUGGUGGCAACUGGACGUCCGGUGGCAGUUCAUUGGUGAAUUUUGGGGGUCGUCUAAAUGAUUUUUUAGGAGGGUUCAAACUCCUGAUAAUUUGUUCUUCUGCAGAGAGGGUGUAGACCGGUGAUGGCCGGUUGCCAUCAUCGGCGGCCGGAGAGGCCAUUAAGGCCGUUUAAGGCUUUUGAGGGGGGAAGGGGGAGACAUGUAGUUGAUAUUAGCAAUUAGAUUAGUGCAUGGAACUUAACUAUUUUAGAAGUUAUAUUUGUUUAUUUAGUUAUUUUUAUUUUAUAUUAUUAUUGGAUAAGAUAUAAUAUAGUGUUAAUAUAACUAUAUUUUAACUUAUUUAUUUACUAGUAAGUACUAAUAUUAUAUUUACAAGUUUUAUUUUUUAAUUAAAUAAAUACUUUUUAUUUUUUUACGAAUUUGCGGAUUUUUGCGGAUUUAUAGAAAUAGAUCCAUAUCCAAUCCAUCGAUUUCGGAUUAUCAAAUUUUCAAUCCAAUCCAAUCCAUCAAUCCACGAAUCGGAUUUUUACGGAUCAAACGGAUUGAGCGGAUCGGAUUGUGAACACCCCCGUACGAAGGACCCCUGAUAUUGAUGUCCAUACAUCCGAAUAAAUUUUCUUUAUGAGGAGUCUACGUCAUGAUUUCUACGUCACGAAUUCUCCAAAAUAUGAUGUCUCUCACUCUUAUCUCUCACUCUUAUUUAAGGCAAACCUCAUAGAGGCAAAUACAGAACAUGAAGAAAAUUAAUUUUGUUCCUAGUCCUCACUAUCUAAAAAGAAUUUUCGUUGAAGCUAUAUAUAUAUAUAUAUUGAAUCUUUUGAAAAAAAUUGCUUCCUGAGCAUAUGAUUUCUUGCUGGUUAAUUUUAAAAUAAAAAUUAUUUUGACUAUUAUAUAAAAGUUAAUUUUAAUAUUAUUAAUAGAGAGAUUUUUUAAAUUGUAAAAUCUAUUUAACCCAAAGAUUAUUUAAAAUCUUUUUAAUAUUACAAUUAUAUUAUUAAAAUAAAUAUAAUAAUUUAAAAUUUUAAUAUUAUUUUAAAUGUAAAAAAUAAUUUAAUAUUAUUAGUCUACCAAAUAGAUUUAUAUUAUUUAUAUAAAAUUUGUGUUAGUUAAAAAAAUUUAAAAAUCAAAUUUUUAAUUAAUAUAAUCAAAAGUUAUUGUGGGCAAAAAAAAGUUUUUGUAUCUUUUUUUUAGGAUUUAAAGAGUUUUUUAUAACUAUUUUCCCAAAUCUUAGAAUGUCGUUAUUCUUUUUCUUUUUUUAUCCCAUCUCAGUUUUUUUACAAGUAUUCAAAUAUUAGCACGUGAAAUAUAUUUUAAAAUAUCCAUCAAUUUAUUAUUUCUUAAAGUACCUUUUAUUAAUAAAUAGCAUAAUACACACGAAGGACCAUUGAUAUUGAUGUUCAUACAUCCGAAUCAAUUUUCGAGUCUACGUCAUGAUUUCUACGUCACGAAUUCUCCAAAUUAUGAUGUAUAUCUAUUCUUUCCCCUUUUGGUAAACAUAUCUCACUCUUAUUUAAGGCAAACCUCAUAGAGUCAAUCACAAAACAUGAAGAAAAUUGAUUUUGUUCCUAGUCCUCACUUUCUAAAAAGAAUUUUCGUUGAAGCUAUAUAUAUAUAUAUAUUGAAUCUUUUGAAAAAAAUUGCUUCCUGAGCAUAUGAUUUCUUGCUGGGUUUCUUCAAUUGCUCUUCUUGUUCAGUUGUUAAAGCUUUCCAGUUUCCUCUCUGUCGUUCAAAGAAUAUUUGAUCAUUGAAGUGUCACCUUCGUAGUGUUAAUUUCGGUGAUGGAGUCCGCUGCUCAAGUGAGGGAUGUCGAUGCUUUGUAUGAGCUAAUUCAACAUGAUCGAUAUUUUUUGGACAACUUCGACGAGAAACCUUUUGUCGAUACUCCUUUGCAUGCUGCUCCAAGGGAUGGAAAUGUUGAAUGGUCCAUGGAGAUUAUCAGACUAAAGCCAUCAUUUGCCAGGAAGCUAAACCAAGAUGGCUUCUCUCCGGUGCAUUUAGCUUUGCAAAAUGAUCAAACUCAGUUAGUGCUUCAGCUGAUAGAUAUUGAUCUGGACCUUGUUCGUGUCCAAGGAAGAGAAGGCAUCACUCCUUUGCAUUUCGUGUCUGAAAAAGGAGACAUCCAUCUGCUGAGGGAAUUUUUGUCUGCUUGUCCGAAAUCUCUUGAAGAUGUGACGAAUAAAGGCGAGAC